rnacentral:rRNA from 1 species
UACGUAGGGUGCAAGCGUUGUCCGGAAUUAUUGGGCGUAAAGAGCUCGUAGGCGGUCUUUCGCGUCGGCUGUGAAAUCCCGAGGCUCAACCUCGGGUCUGCAGUCGAUACGGGCAAACUGGAGUGUUGCAGGGGAGACUGGAAUUCCUGGUGUAGCGGUGAAAUGCGCAGAUAUCAGGAGGAACACCGGUGGCGAGGGCGGGUCUCUGGGCAACAACUGACGCUGAGGAGCGAAAGCGUGGGGAGCGAACAGG